rnacentral:rRNA from 1 species
CCACAUUGGGACUGAGACACGGCCCAGACUCCUACGGGAGGCAGCAGUGGGGAAUAUUGCACAAUGGGCGGAAGCCUGAUGCAGCAACGCCGCGUGCGGGAUGACGGCCUUCGGGUUGUAAACCGCUUUCGCCUGUGACGAAGCGUGAGUGACGGUAAUGGGUAAAGAAGCACCGGCUAACUACGUGCCAGCAGCCGCGGUGAUACGUAGGGUGCGAGCGUUGUCCGGAUUUAUUGGGCGUAAAGGGCUCGUAGGUGGUUGAUCGCGUCGGAAGUGUAAUCUUGGGGCUUAACCCUGAGCGUGCUUUCGAUACGGGUUGACUUGAGGAAGGUAGGGGAGAAUGGAAUUCCUGGUGGAGCGGUGGAAUGCGCAGAUAUCAGGAGGAACACCAGUGGCGAAGGCGGUUCUCUGGGCCUUUCCUGACGCUGAGGAGCGAAAGCGUGGGGAGCGAACAGGCUUAGAUACCCUGGUAGUCCACGCUGUAAACGGUGGGUACUAGGUGUGGGGUCCAUUCCACGGGUUCCGUGCCGUAGCUAACGCUUUAAGUACCCCGCCUGGGGAGUACGGCCGCAAGGCUAAAACUCAAAGGAAUUGACGGGGCCCCGCACAAGCGGCGGAGCAUGCGGAUUAAUUCGAUGCAACGCGUAGAACCUUACCUGGGUUUGACAUGGAUCGGGAGUGCUCAGAGAUGGGUGUGCCUCUUUUGGGGUCGGUUCACAGGUGGUGCAUGGCUGUCGUCAGCUCGUGUCGUGAGAUGUUGGGUUAAGUCCCGCAACGAGCGCAACCCUUGUUCACUGUUGCCAGCACGUUAUGGUGGGGACUCAGUGGAGACCGCCGGGGUCAACUCGGAGGAAGGUGGGGAUGACGUCAAGUCAUCAUGCCCCUUAUGUCCAGGGCUUCACGCAUGCUACAAUGGCUGGUACAGAGAGUGGCGAGCCUGUGAGGGUGAGCGAAUCUCGGAAAGCCGGUCUCAGUUCGGAUUGGGGUCUGCAACUCGACCUCAUGAAGUCGGAGUCGCUAGUAAUCGCAGAUCAGCAACGCUGCGGUGAAUACGUUCCCGGGGCUUGUACACACCGCCCGUCAAGUCAUGAAAGUUGGUAACACCCGAAGCCGGUGGCCUAACCGUUGUGGGGGAGCCGUCGAAGGUGGGACUGGUGAUUAGGACUAAGUCGUAACAAGGUAGCCGUACCGGAAGGUGCGGCUG